rnacentral:rRNA from 1 species
AUGGAGAGGAGGCACCUAUCAUGGAGAACUCUUAGAGAUCUACACCAUCAAUCUUCUAUCCCUUGGCUUGUUGCUGGUGAUUUUAACGAGAUCUUGUACUCUCAUGAAAAGGAGGGUGGUAACCUGAGACCGGUUAAAAUGAUGGAGGACUUCAGGGAGGUACUCGCUGAUUGUGGUUUAGAGGAUGGUUAUUCUGGAGAUUUAUUCACUUGGCGCAGAGGUCGUAUCAAGGAGCGUCUUGAUCGUGCUGUAGGGAACGGAUUGUGGCAAUGUCUAUUUCCUGCAGCUACUGUAACAAAUGGAGACCAUAGUAAAUCAGACCAUCGUCCGCUUAUA